rnacentral:rRNA from 1 species
UACGUAGGAUCCAAGCGUUGUCCGGAUUUACUGGGUGUAAAGGGUGCGCAGGCGGACUUGUUAGUCAGAGGUGAAAUCUCACUGCUCAACAGUGAAACUGCCUUUGAUACUGCAGGUCUUGAAUCCAGAAGAGAGUUGUGGAAUUCCGAGUGUAGCAGUGAAAUGUGUAGAUAUUCGGAAGAACACCAGUGGCGAAGGCGGCAUACUGGCCCAUUACUGACGCUGAGGCUCGAAAGCGUGGGGAGCAAACAGG